CAGAGACAUUUGAGGUUAUUAGUUAUUGAAUAAUAAUAAUUUAGUAAUUUAUGAGCUAAAAUGCAGAAAAGUUCUCUUAUAGCGCUUGGGUUUUCCUUCAUGCUUACUAGCUUUUCAUGGUCUUUGGGCGCCAUUGGCAAAUCGGGCUACUCUUGGAAAGUUCAAGUGGGUUCACAAGUGCAUAAUUAUUCACUCGGUCUAUGGGAUUUUUGCCUGGAUGAUGAUUGCAGGAUUUACAGUCAUGAUGACCUGCUAGAAUUGGGAGAGAAAUUCUCAUUUCGAAUAAAAAUAGCUCGUGCUUGUUUCCUAACUGGCUUCGUAGCUUCUGCUGCUACCAUGUGGAGUUUCUUAUUGUUCUCGGACAGUUGUUUAAUUGGGGUGACUAUCACUGUCGCGGUAAUUAAUGUGUGUCUUCUAAUUACAGCCAAUGCAUUCCACACACUUGCCUACAGUUCAGUUCCUGCUUCCGGUCUGUUUGGGUGGAGCUUCCUGAUGCCUUGGGCAGCCACGCCAUCCGCCU